AAUGUUAAAUGGUGAAAAUGCUAAUCUUGGUGAACAGUCAGUAUCUGCUACUAAGCUGCAUCAAGCCUUUCUAGGUACCCAGGAUAACCCAAGCAGUGUCCCCGUUUGGUUAUCAGACGUAUUAAUCAACAGUUUAAGUCAUAUCAGGUCUGCUUUUUGGGUGGCAGAUGGAAGAUGGCGGCAAUUUGAAGCGUUUGAUUGCCCAAAUGUUGAUUCCGUGCAUAAUGACGGUGAACGUCAUAUUCCAUAUAUCAUGAUAUUCCCUGAAUCAGUUAAAAAUAAGAUGAUUGGAUGGGCUAAAUCACAGCUGUCCAAUGGUAUGAUGCCAGAGAUGUUACAGCCUAUUAAUUGUGAAGCUAAAUCGAUAAAACCAGCAAUAGAUUUACCUGGUGGGAGAAUUAUGUCAGACGUUUCUUCGAUGUUCAUAGUUUAUUUACUGGAACUUUACAAGUGGGGAAACGAACAAGAGCUUGCUUCAUCUCUGUGGCCGUUUGCUAAAAAAGCUGCCGAAUGGCAUAUGGUGUCUGCAGAGAAAUAUGGAACACUUUAUCGUAUUCAAAAUACUUAUGAUAAUAUUGGACUUAAUAACUAUGACGUAGCCACUUAUAACUCGGCUUUCCAUCUUUUGGCCAUGAAAGCAGCCGAGCAGUUGGCAAGUGCAA